GCCCUAGUAGUGUAGUGGUUCAAAAAGCAAUGCUUUGACCAAUCAUACGGCCCUGUCGAGGCUGUGACCCGGGUUCAAUUCCCGGCUAGGGCG
rnacentral:tRNA from 1 species